rnacentral:tmRNA from 1 species
GGGAUCGUUUUGGUAUCGACAGGGAUGGUUAAGCUUAUAUGGCGAGUCGAGUUGACGAGCUCGUAAAAACGUCAAAGCCUACAACUGGCAAACAACAAAACAACUUCGCUUUCGCUGCCUAACAACAGUCGAUAGCGGUUCCGCCCUCCAUCGUCCAUGUGGUAGGGAUAUGGGACUCAAACGUAGUGGACUACGCCUGAUUCCACCGUCUGAGGAAGAAGGAAGAGAAGAAACAGACUAGCCACUUCAAUGCCUGUCAGUGGGCUAAAGAAGAGGGCGAAACAUAAUUUUGCUGACUACACUCGUAGAAAUAUAAGUGGAAACACCUUUGCACACCGGUUCGAAUCCGGUCGAUUCCACCA